AUUGAACGCUGGCGGCAGGCCUAACACAUGCAAGUCGAACGGUAACAGAAAGCAGCUUGCUGCUUUGCUGACGAGUGGCGGACGGGUGAGUAAUGUCUGGGAAACUGCCUGAUGGAGGGGGAUAACUACUGGAAACGGUAGCUAAUACCGCAUAACGUCGCAAGACCAAAGAGGGGGACCUUCGGGCCUCUUGCCAUCGGAUGUGCCCAGAUGGGAUUAGCUUGUUGGUGGGGUAACGGCUCACCAAGGCGACGAUCCCUAGCUGGUCUGAGAGGAUGACCAGCCACACUGGAACUGAGACACGGUCCAGACUCCUACGGGAGGCAGCAGUGGGGAAUAUUGCACAAUGGGCGCAAGCCUGAUGCAGCCAUGCCGCGUGUAUGAAGAAGGCCUUCGGGUUGUAAAGUACUUUCAGCGGGGAGGAAGGGAGUAAAGUUAAUACCUUUGCUCAUUGACGUUACCCGCAGAAGAAGCACCGGCUAACUCCGUGCCAGCAGCCGCGGUAAUACGGAGGGUGCAAGCGUUAAUCGGAAUUACUGGGCGUAAAGCGCACGCAGGCGGUUUGUUAAGUCAGAUGUGAAAUCCCCGGGCUCAACCUGGGAACUGCAUCUGAUACUGGCAAGCUUGAGUCUCGUAGAGGGGGGUAGAAUUCCAGGUGUAGCGGUGAAAUGCGUAGAGAUCUGGAGGAAUACCGGUGGCGAAGGCGGCCCCCUGGACGAAGACUGACGCUCAGGUGCGAAAGCGUGGGGAGCAAACAGGAUUAGAUACCCUGGUAGUCCACGCCGUAAACGAUGUCGACUUGGAGGUUGUGCCCUUGAGGCGUGGCUUCCGGAGCUAACGCGUUAAGUCGACCGCCUGGGGAGUACGGCCGCAAGGUUAAAACUCAAAUGAAUUGACGGGGGCCCGCACAAGCGGUGGAGCAUGUGGUUUAAUUCGAUGCAACGCGAAGAACUUUACCUGGUCUUGACAUCCACAGAACUUUCCAGAGAUGGAUUGGUGCCUUCGGGAACUGCGAGACAGGUGCUGCAUGGCUGUCGUCAGCUCGUGUUGUGAAAUGUUGGGUUAAGUCCCGCAGCGAGCGCAACCCUUAUCCUUUGUUGCCAGCGGUCCGGCCGGGAACUCAAAGGAGACUGCCAGUGAUAAACUGGAGGAAGGUGGGGAUGACGUCAAGUCAUCAUGGCCCUUACGACCAGGGCUACACACGUGCUACAAUGGCGCAUACAAAGAGAAGCGACCUCGCGAGAGCAAGCGGACCUCAUAAAGUGCGUCGUAGUCCGGAUUGGAGUCUGCAACUCGACUCCAUGAAGUCGGAAUCGCUAGUAAUCGUGGAUCAGAAUGCCACGGUGAAUACGUUCCCGGGCCUUGUACACACCGCCCGUCACACCAUGGGAGUGGGUUGCAAAAGAAGUAGGUAGCUUAACCUUCGGGAGGGCGCUUACCACUUUGUGAUUCAUGACUGGGGUG
rnacentral:rRNA from 1 species